rnacentral:snRNA from 1 species
CUGGCUUUGGCAGCACAUAUAUACUAAAAUUGGAACAUACAGAAAAGAUUAGCAUGGCCCCUUCAUAAGGAUGACAUGCAAAUUUGUGAAGCAUUCCCUAUUUUU